AUUUAUGGCCAGACCAUCCUAAACACACCCAGUCCCCUCUGAUCUUGGAAGGUAAGCAGGGUUGGACUGCUUAGUGCUUAGUACCUGGAUGGGAGAAAAUACCAUAUAUU
rnacentral:rRNA from 1 species